CUACGGGAGGCUGCAGGGAAUCUUAGACAAUGGGGGAAACCCUGAUCUAGCCAUGCCGCGUGAGUGAUGAAGGCCUUAGGGUUGUAAAGCUCUUUCGCUGGGGAAGAUAAUGACGGUACCCAGUAAAGAAACCCCGGCUAACUCCGUGCCAGCAGCCGCGGUAAUACGGAGGGGGUUAGCGUUGUUCGGAAUUACUGGGCGUAAAGCGCGCGUAGGCGGGCUAUUAAGUCAGGGGUGAAAUCCCGGGGCUCAACCCCGGAACUGCCUUUGAUACUGGUAGUCUUGAGUUCGAGGGAGGUGAGUGGAAUUCCGAGUGUAGAGGUGAAAUUCGUAGAUAUUCGGAGGAACAUCAGUGGCGAAGGCGACUCACUGGCUCGAUACUGACGCUGAGGUGCGAAAGUGUGGGGAGCAAACAGGAUUAGAUACCCGGGUAGUC
rnacentral:rRNA from 1 species